rnacentral:rRNA from 1 species
GAUGAACGCUAGCGGCAGGCUUAAUACAUGCAAGUCGAGGGGCAGCAGGACUGUAGCAAUACAGUUGCUGGCGACCGGCAAACGGGUGCGGAACACGUACGCAACCUACCCAAAACUGGGGGAUAGCCCGGGGAAACCCGGAUUAAUACCUCGUAACCUUUUUAAGUGGCAUCACUUGAUAAGUAUAGCUCCGGCGGUUUUGGAUGGGCGUGCGCCUGAUUAGGUAGUUGGUGCGGGUAACGGCCCACCAAGCCUGCGAUCAGUAACUGGUGUGAGAGCACGACCAGUCACACGGGAACUGAGACACGGGCCCGACUCCUACGGGAGGCAGCAGUAAGGAAUAUUGGUCAAUGGACGCAAGUCUGAACCAGCCAUGCCGCGUGAAGGAUGAAGGUCCUCUGGAUUGUAAACUUCUUUUAUGGGGGACGAAACCCGGAUAUUCUUAUCCGAUUGACGGUACCUCAGGAAUAAGCACCGGCUAACUCCGUG